UACGUAGGGUGCAAGCGUUGUCCGGAAUUAUUGGGCGUAAAGAGCUCGUAGGCGGUCUGUCGCGUCGGCUGUGAAAUCCCGGAGCUCAACUCCGGGUCUGCAGUCGAUACGGGCAAACUGGAGUACUGCAGGGGAGACUGGAAUUCCUGGUGUAGCGGUGAAAUGCGCAGAUAUCAGGAGGAACACCGAUGGCGAAGGCAGGUCUCUGGGCCACUACUGACGCUGAGAAGCGAAAGCAUGGGGGAGCGAACAGG
rnacentral:rRNA from 1 species